ACAUGGACUGGGAAUUAGAAGGGAGUGCUUAGAACACAGUCACCUGGAAUAUCUGAAAUAUCUGAAUACCUAAAAUAUCUGAGAGCUUUCAGUUUCUGCAGAUUGAUGCAGAAUGCAAAUGCCAGGAGGGAGAGACCCUGACCACCAGAGUGCAGGAUGGUGCUCAUUCUCAAACAAUUUGGUUUUCUGGGUAUCAUAAGAAAAAUAUCCAGAGAAAACAGAGACACUGGGAAAAGAUAGUUGCAGUAAAGAAGGCAAAAGAAAGCAAGAAAAAGAAAGAAGAAAAGCCAAUUGUGCAGAAAAUCCAGGAAUCUGCCCCUAACACAGCAAAUAUUUUCUGAGAUCUCUAAGCAAAGAGAUUCUUUUGGAAGACAAACACUCAGGACAAAGGCUGUGUAUCAAUUUGAGUAUGACCCACCCCAUGUCAAAGAAGGAAUUGAGUAGACUGGCUGGACAGAUAUGAAGGUUGUAUGGUUCAGAUGAAAUCUAAUAGGCCAUUUUGGAUCUGCCUCACUGGAUUCACAGUAGACAGUGCCCUGUGUGAAGAGCGAAGAUGAAUUUUCUAGCGACUUGCUAGACAUAAAAGAAGACUUCUUUUAGUUUAUUUCCUCUGGAAAGCCUUGUGUUCCCGACUCCUAACUUAGAAUACACUCUUGAAGAUGUUGAUGUAAACGAAGUUUGUAUCUUUGAUGGACUUGUGGAUGAAAGCAUUCAGAAGAAGGUGACAUUUCAAAAGGCCCAGGAAUACUCUUUCAGGACAGCCCACUUGUCUGUCAUUCCAGGGAUACAUGACCAGACACCAGAGUGGAAAUAACUCUCAUUUAGGGAUGCUGGCCAUCAAUCAAGUAUUUGAUAUUCUGUCCACUUGAGACUCUUAACUGGCCUGAAGCAUUGAAGACAGGAAUUUCUUCCAAAAAAGUUAUAUUCUUCAGAGCACAGUGGG
rnacentral:lncRNA from 10 species